ACCCCCACCUUUUCUCUCUUCUUUUCUCUCUCGAUACUAGUUAGCAUCAAUUCCGCUCGAUCCCCAUGGCCACUGUUGAGGUAGCUAGCUCCAGCGUUCUCCAUUCUUUUCUUUCUAAUGGUCUGCAAUAAUUAUAUUAAUAACGUUGGUCCAGCUUUUUUUAGAUGAAAAAAAUACUACUACUACAUGUCAUGCUGCAAAAGUUCGGAUGGAAAAUUUUGGAUUCGUUAACAAGGAUUCAUUCAUGUCAAGUUUUAUCAAAAGUUUUUGAUAUGUAUAAUUUGUCUUCGUAUGGUCGCAUGCUCGAAAGUCCAUGGCAGAUGCUUUUAUAUGAGUUAAUUCAUGCAUGUUAAGCAUUGAUUAAUAUUCUAUAACAUGAUCCUUAAAAGUUAUAAUUAUACCGGAUCGUAUAUGAGCUCUUCCUAUGUUUUUGAUCUUCAAAAGAAAAGGUUCGUGUAUUUUAAGCAUCGAUCAAAUUUUCUAAACCAAUGGUACUUUUAGCCAGAUCGAAGAAAGAAAUCAGUUAUUUAUAAUCUGCUCAUGUUCAAACCUAGUGAUGGUAUAUAUUCUGCAGGUCCAAACAGCAACUACUGCAUUGCCUGAUGAGAACGUAGAGAAGCAACCAACCGAGACCAAGGAAGCACCCAAGGAGGAAGUUGUCACACCCCCGGCAGCAGUCGAGGAGCCGGAGGAGGAGGCAGCGACCGAUGCUGCAACCGAAGAAGUUCAGGCUCCUGUGGAGGAGAAGGCUGAUCAGGAGGUGGUCGCGGAGGCCGAGCCAGUGGUGGAGGAAGCAGCAGAAGAGAAGACUGAAGAACCUGCCCAAGAGGUGACAGCUGAGGUUCCCACGGAGGAGCCCGUGGAGACCAAGGCCG
rnacentral:lncRNA from 1 species